rnacentral:rRNA from 1 species
GGAGCUUGCUCCUCGGGUGACGAGUGGCGGACGGGUGAGUAAUGUCUGGGGAUCUGCCCGAUAGAGGGGGAUAACCACUGGAAACGGUGGCUAAUACCGCAUAACGUCGCAAGACCAAAGAGGGGGACCUUCGGGCCUCUCACUAUCGGAUGAACCCAGAUGGGAUUAGCUAGUAGGCGGGGUAACGGCCCACCUAGGCGACGAUCCCUAGCUGGUCUGAGAGGAUGACCAGCCACACUGGAACUGAGACACGGUCCAGACUCCUACGGGAGGCAGCAGUGGGGAAUAUUGCACAAUGGGCGCAAGCCUGAUGCAGCCAUGCCGCGUGUAUGAAGAAGGCCUUCGGGUUGUAAAGUACUUUCAGCGGGGAGGAAGGCGAUGUGGUUAAUAACCGCGUCGAUUGACGUUACCCGCAGAAGAAGCACCGGCUAACUCCGUGCCAGCAGCCGCGGUAAUACGGAGGGUGCAAGCGUUAAUCGGAAUUACUGGGCGUAAAGCGCACGCAGGCGGUCUGUUAAGUCAGAUGUGAAAUCCCCGGGCUUAACCUGGGAACUGCAUUUGAAACUGGCAGGCUUGAGUCUCGUAGAGGGGGGUAGAAUUCCAGGUGUAGCGGUGAAAUGCGUAGAGAUCUGGAGGAAUACCGGUGGCGAAGGCGGCCCCCUGGACGAAGACUGACGCUCAGGUGCGAAAAGCGUGGGGAGCAAACAAGGAUUAGAUACCCUGGUAGUCCACGCCGUAAACGAUGUCNACUUGGAAGGUUGUUUCCCUUGAGGAGUGGCUUCCGGAAGCUAACGCGUUAAGUCGACCCCUGGGGAGUACGGCCGCAAGGUUAAAACUCCAAAUUAAAUUGA